rnacentral:rRNA from 1 species
CGCCUUGCCAGCCCGCUCAGAAACUCACAGGAAUUGACGGGGGCCCGCACAAGCGGUGGAGCAUGUGGUUUAAUUCGAUGAUACGCGAGGAACCUUACCUGGGCUCAAAUGUAUGUUGACGUAUUCUGAAAGGGAUACUUCUUCGGACAAUAUACAAGGUGCUGCAUGGUUGUCGUCAGCUCGUGCCGUGAGAUGUUGGGUUAAGUCCCGCAACGAGCGCAACCCUUGCCUUUAGUUGCCAGCAGUUCGGCUGGGCACUCUAAAGGGACUGCCGGUGUUAAACCGGAGGAAGGUGGGGAUGACGUCAAGUCCUCAUGGCCUUUAUGACCAGGGCUACACACGUACUACAAUGGCCGAUACAAAGGGCAGCGACACUGCGAGGUGAAGCCAAUCCCGUAAAAUCGGUCUCAGUCCGGAUUGGAGUCUGCAACUCGACUCCAUGAAGUUGGAAUCGCUAGUAAUCGUGAAUCAGAAUGUCACGGUGAAUACGUUCCCGGGCCUU